rnacentral:rRNA from 1 species
GGGAGGCAGCAGUGGGGAAUUUUGGACAAUGGGCGCAAGCCUGAUCCAGCCAUUCCGCGUGAGUGAAGAAGGCCUUCGGGUUGUAAAGCUCUUUUGUCAGGGACGAAACGGUGGAGGCGAAUACCCUCUGGUAAUGACGGUACCCGAAGAAGAAGCACCGGCUAACUACGUGCCAGCACCCGCGGUAAUACGUAGGGUGCGAGCGUUAAUCGGAAUUACUGGGCGUAAAGCGUGCGCAGGCGGCUUUAUAAGACAGAUGUGAAAUCCCCGGGCUCAACCUAGGAAAUGCGUUUGUGACUGUAAAGCUGGAGUGCGGCAGAGGGGGGUGGAAUUCCCCGUGUAGCACUGAAAUGCGUAGAGAUGUGGAGGAACACCCAUGGCGAAGGCGGCCCCCCGGGUUGACACUGACGCUCAUGCACGAAAGCGUGGGGAGCAAACAGGAUUAGAUACCCCGGUAGUCCACGCCCUAAACGAUGCCAACUAGGUGUUGGGGAAGGAGACUUUCUCAGUACCGUAGCUAACGCGUGAAGU